AAAUCUAAAAUAUCUUAAACUGUGUUUCGAAGAUGAACGGAGGUCUUACCCUCAUGUCGUUCCAAACUCGUGAGUCAUUAGUUACAUUAUUUUCAUUUUUGGGUGAACUCUCCCUUUAAUUACAUGCUCAUACUUGUAAUUAUGCCUGAUAAGAAUUUGUAAUCUUUGUGUUUAAACAUUUUUCGAAUUUUAAUCCUUGUUUUUAAAUGGCCAUGACAGUGACAAAAAGGAAGCAGCCUUCUCUAGCCCACCCAAGUUUCCAUCAAAGGAGCAAGCCCAUGUCAGUAAGAAGAAAGCUGGCUAACCCUCCCACCCCUUGUUUAACUCCUCCAGCCCAUCCCACAUCAUUGUAGAGUGAAGGUAAGUGUACCCUAUAUAGUAAAAUGCAUCAGGUCCCUAAAUUCAAGCAGACACAAUGUACUCCACAGGUCCACAGCACAUACCAUAGUUUGAUGUUCCAGAGAUAUGAUUUUUGAGUUUAUAUUAGUAGUGUGAUCAGUAAACCAAGGUUUUCUGUCUUUCCAAGAGACUGCGGUUAAUAUUCAGAAAGAGGCGCCGAGAACUGAAGGCUUUCCUGACUUGACACCGAAUAAUAACGAAGGCCUGUGUGCUUUGCAGCAGCCUCCACGUCACACUCUUCCAGGGCUCCGUCAGAGGACUAACGAUAUGCCACAAGAUGAUUGGCAGCAAGACACACCCAGUGAUGAAGGGAUGUGCUCUCCUUAAAUCACAGCCUAUUCAUCAGGUACUCCUGAGUGCUGUGUUAAGAAAUCCUGCCUACAAAGUUCCACUGAGGCUGAUAUAAAGAUGACUGUGAGAAACUGGCUGCGGCUGUCUGAGCAGAGACAGGAAUGGGGGCAGCAAAGGCGGGACAAGCAAGCAUCUUAAGUGAAAUAAUUGAUUGCACUGAUUCUGGAGUAUGACUUAUUCUGGAGGGAAUUUCUUAUUUUUGUUGCAGUUUGCUAUGGGACAGUUUCAAGGACAGGGAUUAGACUAGUUCUAGACUAAAAUAAAUGUAAGAGCUGUCCAAACUGAAAACAACUUGCAUUGACAUAUCAUAAAAUACAUCAGUGUCUUUUGUGAUGCUUCAAAAUGCACACAAGUAAUGUUUUUAUUAAGACAUGUUAUUAAAACUAGUUAUAUUUCAGAAUUAAACUAAGGCCUAGUCCCGGUUUAGGAUAAUCCCUGUCCGGGAAACCACCCCAAAGUGUAAUUUGUGGAGUGUUAAAAUAAAUGAAACUGCCUUUGCAAAAACAAAGUAAAAAAAUUUUUUCCAGAUGCCCUUCUGUUUUGUUAUUUCUCCUGGAAAACUCACUGAUCCAUUUUUUUCUGUUAGACUAACAUUUACCAGGUUGUCAGAUUGUGUAUGAAAUACACCCUACACAUAACAAUCACUUACUUUCAAUUUAAA